GUAAUUUAGAUGCAAAUUUAAUGGGUUACUUUAAAUUAUUUUUUAUAAUGUUAGUGGUGGGCAAUUUGGAAGCAAAUUUAGGAGGGUUAUUUUAAAUUAUUUUUUAUAAUGGUAUAAGUGGGUAAUUUAGACGAAAAUUAGGGGGUUACUUUAGUUUAUUUUAUAUAAUGGUAGAGGUUGGCAAUUUAGGGGGUUACUUUAAGCUAUUUUGAUAAUGGUAGAGGUGGGUAAUUUUAUAGAAAAUAUAAUAUAUCAUGUGGCUAUGAUAAUUUGAGUCUACUGAAAAGAUGGCUUGAUGUUUUAUUUUUUUAAGAAUUUUUAGAAUUUCUCUAUUUCAAAAGGAUCCUCCAAUUAAUAAUAGUAAGAUACAUCCGCGUAAAGAGAUCUUAGCUUGUGGACCCAUAAUGUCAAUGAUCGUAACCAGAAAUCUACGUUGAGGGCCUAGAGUGCGCGUUUAUGUGAUGUACAAAAGUGAGGUUUUACCAAAUUCUCGCCCAACCGGCCGGUUUCUGGCAAGGCACACGUUAAAUUUUCUCGCAGCUAGCCAGCUAAGCCGCACUCGAUUUGACUCUAAAAAUCGCCACAUUCCCAAAACCUAGUACUUCCCCCCUUGCGGCAAGCCAACCAUGCCCCACAGCCCGC
rnacentral:lncRNA from 1 species